rnacentral:rRNA from 1 species
GUGCCAGCCGCCGCGGUAAUACGUAGGUGGCAAGCGUUGUCCGGAAUUAUUGGGCGUAAAGCGCGCGCAGGUGGGAUCUUAAGUCUGUUCUGAAAGUUCGGAGCUUAACUCCGUGAUGGGAUGGAAACUGGGAUUCUUGAGUACCGGAGAGGAAAGCGGAAUUCCCCGUGUAGCGGUGAAAUGCGUAGAUAUGGGGAGGAACACCAGUGGCGAAGGCGGCUUUCUGGACGGUGUCUGACACUGAGGCGCGAAAGCUAGGGGAGCGAACGGGAUUAGAUACCCCGGUAGUCCUAGCCGUAAACGAUGGGUACUAGGUGUGGGGGGUGUCAACUCCUCCCGUGCCGGCGCUAACGCAAUAAGUACCCCGCCUGGGGAGUACGGCCGCAAGGUUGAA